UACGGAGGGUGCAAGCGUUAUCCGGAUUCACUGGGUUUAAAGGGUGCGUAGGUGGGUCUGUAAGUCAGUGGUGAAAUCUCCAAGCUUAACUUGGAAACUGCCGUUGAUACUAUAGACCUUGAAUGCUGUGGAGGUGAGCGGAAUAUGUCAUGUAGCGGUGAAAUGACUUAGUAUAAUGACAUAGAACACCAAAUUGCGAAGGC
rnacentral:rRNA from 1 species